AUGACGAAUAUGGUUCACAUCGAUGAGAAGUGGUUCGACAUGACGAGAGUGAAGAAUAGUUACUAUGUACUUCCAGGAGAACCUGAACCGAAGCGCACCAUGUCAAACACUCACAGCAUUGGGAAGGUAAUGUUCCUAACAGCUGUUGCUAGGCCUCGAUAUAACAAUGAGGAGGAGCUAACAUUCGAUGGGAAGAUCGGCAUUUGGGCAUUCGUCGAAGAGACUGAGGCGAAGCGGACAAGUCAGAACAGAACAAAGGGAACAAAAGUGUUGACAUCAGUGAAAGUAACCAGGCCUGUGUGCAGAGAUUAUCUAAUCAAUAAGGUUAUCCCGGCAAUUCAGGAUAAGUGGCCUGACGAUGAUGAGGGAGCAACAAUAUUCAUCCAACAGGAUAACGCAAAGCCUCAUGUCCUUCCCAAUGAUGUAGCUUUUCGAGAAGCUGUGGAACAAACUGAUCUUGACAUCCGAUUGCUACAACAGCCCCCAAAUAGCCCUGAGUUAAAUUUUCUGGACCUAUGCUUCCAUAACUCACUCCAGUCUCUAACCGACUGCAGGUCACCUACAAACAUCCAGGAACUGGUACAGGGUGUGGAAGAGGAAUUCGAGAACUACGAUCCCGACAAGUUGCACAGAAGCUUUAUCACAUUAGAAGCAGUUAUGUUUGAAGUUAUUAAGGACAAAGGAGGAAAUCAAUUUAAGUUGCCCCACUUGCACAAGGAUCGCUUUCAGAAUGCUGGACUAGAAAUAACCAGUGUAUAUUGCGAUAGUCGGGUAGUUGUUGAUACUAGGGUCAUUAUAGAAGAAAUGGAAAUUGCAAUAGGAAAAGAAAAUGAAAGGAAAGAAUUAGCUAGAGAAGGGAAAAGAAAGAAAAUAGCUAGGUAUUGUAGAUAUGAUAGCUGCAGUUUCAGAACAAAGGAGAAGGAAAAAGGCUUCUUCCAUGCCACUUAUCUGAAGAAGCAACACGAGCACUUACAGGACAAAGAAAAGAGACAGAGCACAAGGGAACAGAGACAGAACCAUGGUGGUCAGCAAGCAAGCACGCACGCACCUCUCCUGCAUCCAUCCCAAUGCACUGGGUGUCAAUGGCGCCCGCGAGCUCCAUCCCCCUCGUUCCCGAUCCCCACUCUCCCUCUCCCCGAGCGCGUCGCCCCUGCAGCCUCCCGUCGCCCGCCUCCGUUCGGCUCCCUCGCUGCGGCCUUGCCGGAUGUCGGCGACCUCGAGCGCCGCCCUCCUCCCUUCCGCGCCGUGCCUCCCCGCGCUACCACCGGAGGGGCCAACUCCGGCGGCCCCGGCGCCCGCGCCAAGCUGCCGUCAGGUCCCGCGUCGCCAUCCAAGACCCCGCCGGCCUCCCCUGCUUCUAUUGCACGGGAACGACGCAUCGAGCGCCCGCCUACAGCCAAGCCGCCAAGGCCCUGCUCUGCCGUCCGCCACUCCGUCGACCCUGCCUCCAUGGCCUUGCUGCCGCUGCCAUCCCUCAACUCCUUCUCCAGCGAGCCCCGUGGCCGGUCUGCAUCGCCCUUGCCGGACUCCAUCCUUGCUCCGCUGCCACCACGCUCGACCCCAAGACAUGAGGUUGUUGGUGGUGGUCCGGAUCCAGCGCCUCCGGGCUCGCCGACGCCGGUUCUGACACAGCCGGAGCAGAGCGCGGCGGUAGCUGGGGAAAUCGAACAUUUUUAUGACGAAGGGGGGAGCUUGGGGAGGCAGGCGAGUGGCAGCUGCGGCGGUGGAGCAGGAGGCAGCUGCAGCAGGGGAGCGGGGAGCGGGGGAGCUGCGGCGGCGGGGACAGGGCAGCUGCGGCGGCGUGGAGGAGCGAAGCUACGGCGGCGGGGAGCAGCGGAGCUGGGGAUUCUGUCGGAGGAGCAAGACGAGGAGCGCGGGUUCGGUCGGGAGAAACUGGAGGGCUUUUUUGCAAAACUGCCCUCGCGACAUAUUUUUCGGGACGGAGGGAGUAGUGGGUUUACGCGUGGCCACGGGAGAAAGGUCCUGUCCUCUCUCUCCGGGGACUUCGACGGCGAAGAAGAAGAAAAGGAAGAAGAAGAGCGACGCAGCGAGCACCUGCCUGCCUGCGGCGGCCAGGCGCUAGGGGAGCUGCGUCCAAGGCUCUGAUUCUUCACCGGCGAACCGUAGCGCUCACCGCAGCCGUAGCAUGAGUUGGCGGCCGCCGAUCUCGCCUGGCCGCCUCCUUCUCGUCGUCCAAUUCGUCGCCCUCUGCUCGAUUCCUGGUGAGAUCCGGCUCUUACCUCUCCCAAUGCUGCUUUCUUCUUCGGAUUUAAGCAGCCAAUCUUUCCGCGUGGACAUUUGACCGAAUUUAGUUUACCUUUUCUUUUACGGGCAGUUUACCCUAUUUUGUCCGUGGAGAGUGGUUGCUUCCAUAGGAAACAGCCCAUUUUAAUCUGUAUUAUUCGAAUGCGUUGGCGGCUUGCUGAACAAGUUGGCUGCAAUCUAAGCGCUUGCCAGUUCAUCAACUUGACUUCUAUUGGCGAUGUCGUGCGUGAAAGGGCAGUAGUGAUUUAUAGAGCCUUGAAAGCAAGUGUUAUGAAAAAAAUAAUACUAUUUGGAUGUUCUGCUGGUUUAAUUUGGAUUGUCCUAGUCCAGCAAUCUUUAGUGUGGCCCCUUUUCGGUUUCACCGUGAAAAAAUAUUUUGUUUAGUCUUCAUAAUUGGUCAAAAGGGCCACCAGCUUUCCCCCAAAAAGGGGAGCAAAGUAGGCGCACGAAUAUUUAUUAAUUAAGAGUUUUCGAGACUUCAUUCUCUUUUUAGUUUUGACUCUGGGUCCGGUACAGGUUGUUUUCUAUCAGUAUAACAAUCAUAUUUUGUGCAUGUUCCAUAUUCUUGGUAACUCUGCUAUCGAGUUAUGUGAGCACAUUAGUCUAGUGAAAGUAGGAUUAUUACUAGUUUUCUAUCUGUAGAAACGAGGAUUGUUACUAGAAAUAAAAUCUCAUGCUCCCGUUGUUGAACAUCUGUUGGAGCUGGUGGUAGUUGUUCAGCUGAGGGUGUCUUUUUAGAUAGGGAUAAAUAUGUACUCGGAGCAGUUCUUGACCCUGCUUUCUAAUUAAACUGGGUUACAUCCUGUUGAGGGGAUAUCUGGUGCUUCCUUACCUUACAGUGGUUCCGUUCUACCAUGAAAAAACAUGAAAAGGUAUGGACGUCUGGUGAAAAAUGAGAACAUCGAUUCGAUACAAGAUUCAUCUAUGAUGCCACACAAUUUGAUCCACACGUCGAGAAACAAGAAUGACAAAUUCUGCUCUGGUAGUAGCUAAUUCAAAUUCAGAGGUGAAAAUAGUUUUGUGCAUUAUUAAUAUUAACAGCAGAAUUUCUCAUUUUUGUUUCUUCAUGUGUGUAUCUAUUUUGUUUCUUGUAACUUUGUGGCAUCGUAGUUGAACCUUGUGAACAUAAUUUUCUUAUGACCUUUUUUUCCUUUGAAAUGGGUUCUUAUCACUUUCUAGUGGUGCUUCUCAUGUUGGUAGCAUGGGUGUGCUGUAUGAGGAGGAAGGACUGGGUAUGUUCUCACUGCCUAUGGUAUAAAAAAGUGCUGUGUUUGCCCAUGUGAAGCAGUGGCUGGUGUGUUGAGUAUAAGACUUGGGGUGAGUUUCUAUUGUGCUAGUAACUUGAGUAAUAGAUUGUAUUCUCAGUAUGAUAAUAUCUCAAGUUGCAUAUUAGACUAACACAAAUAUCAUAGGGAAGAGAGAUUGAUUGAUUGAUUAGACUGUCUCUGCUACUGUAUUACAUAGCAUACUCAUGUUAGUAACCUACUGAACAAGCUUUAGAGAAACAUAAAGGUAAAGAAAGGAAAGAGCAUAAUCAAAGCCUUAUACUUCUUACAUUGAAUACUGGAUAGUAAUCCUUGUGUGAGUCGAGUUGAGAAAAAAUUGUAGGGGAGAAAUACCAUAUGAAUUAUGAGUAUACCCUUGCUGAAGUGGGAAUGCAUAGAACUAAAAUUCAUGUGUGCUUUCUCUGUUGCAUUUAUUGUGUUCUCGUGUAUGUAGUUGAACAGGAUAUAAAAUUUGAUAAUAUUUCUUUUAUUGCCCUUAAUAAUUCUUUGUGCACGACUGAUUAUGCUUAAUUUGUAGGGGCUUUUUCUUCGAGGCUUGUCACACUUGAUACCGUUGAUAUAUUUACCACUCAUGAAUGGUUCUCCAGACCAACUGUGUUUUUCCGCUGCAGUGGAGAUAACCAGACAUACUUGCCUGACGUGAAGGAGGCAAACUUGAUAUAUACCUUUAAGGGUGAAGAGUCAUGGCAGCCCUUAACGGAACUUCCAGAAAAGAAGUGCAAGCGAUGUGGUUUGUACGAACAGGAUAUGUUUAGAAAUGAUGUGUUUGAUGAAUGGGAGCUGUGUUCUAGUGACUUCAAAGAUGGCAAGUACACACACUUCAAGGAAGGGCAGUUCAAUGCGACUUUCCUGUGCCCAAACUGUACUGUCUCUGCUGGUGAUGCUGCAACACAUCACUCUAGCUCAGAGGUGGAAGCCAAAAAGACAUCUGUUGCUGUUACCAUAAUAGUAAGCGUUCUCGCUUCCGUUAUCGUUGUCCUCGCAUUGUUCGGAGGCUACAAGUACUGGCUGAAGAAGAAGAGGGAGCGGGAUCAGUUACGAUUUCUCAAGCUCUUCGAGGAGGGAGACGACAUGGACGACGAACUGGGCCUGAGCAAUGAACUCUAAGAUAGCGAAUACAGUCUGACGCCCUGAUCUCCAAUCAUCUCAGAUUAGUUCAUGUCGCCGUGUAUAAAAUGUUCUUCAUUCCAUUUCUCUUUUCAGUUUUAGUUUCAAAUUCUUGUGAUGUACAGCACCUCCACAGUUGAAAGACACAACUCUGACAGCAACAGAACAACUCUUUCGAUUCGUCGCGCUUUUCCCCCUCAUAAGAUCUGGCAACGGUUAGCGUUGUAUUCAGUUAUGAGUGGGUCGUCACAUGUCAGUCUUCAUUGUAU
rnacentral:rRNA from 1 species